rnacentral:rRNA from 1 species
ACACGUAAGUGGCAAGCGUUGUUCGGAAUUAUUGGGCGUAAAGGGCGUGUAGGCGGCCUUGUAAGCCUGGUGUGAAAGCCCGCAGCUUAACUGCGGAUACGCGCUGGGAACUACAAGGCUGGAGUCUAAGAGGGGGAGCUGGAAUUCCAGGUGUAGGGGUGAAAUCUGUAGAUAUCUGGAAGAACACCGGAGGCGAAGGCGAGCUCCUGGCUAUAGACUGACGCUGAGGCGCGAAAGCGUGGGGAGCGAACAGGAUUAGAUACCCUGGUAGUCCACGCUGUAAACGUUGUGCACUAGGUGUUGGCCCUACGGGGGCAGUACCGCAGCUAACGCGAUAAGUGCACCGCCUGGGGAGUAUGCUCGCAAGGGUGAA